rnacentral:rRNA from 1 species
AGUGAACGCUGGCGGCAGGCCUAACACAUGCAAGUCGAACGGCAGCACAAGAGAGCUUGCUCUCUGGGUGGCGAGUGGCGGACGGGUGAGGAAUACGUCGGAAUCUGCCUAUUUGUGGGGGAUAACGUAGGGAAACUUACGCUAAUACCGCAUACGACCUACGGGUGAAAGCGGAGGACCUUCGGGCUUCGCGCAGAUAGAUGAGCCGACGUCGGAUUAGCUAGUUGGCGGGGUAAAGGCCCACCAAGGCGACGAUCCGUAGCUGGUCUGAGAGGAUGAUCAGCCACACUGGAACUGAGACACGGUCCAGACUCCUACGGGAGGCAGCAGUGGGGAAUAUUGGACAAUGGGCGCAAGCCUGAUCCAGCCAUGCCGCGUGGGUGAAGAAGGCCUUCGGGUUGUAAAGCCCUUCUGUUGGGAAAGAAAAGCAGCCGGUUAAUACCCGGUUGUCAUGACGGUACCCAAAGAAUAAGCACCGGCUAACUUCGUGCCAGCAGCCGCAGUAACAC